rnacentral:rRNA from 1 species
UCUCCUGGAAAACGGGUGGUAAUGCCGGAUGCUCCGACUCCUCGCAUGGGGUGUCGGGAAAGAUUUCAUCGGUAUGGGAUGGGGUCGCGUCCUAUCAGGUAGUCGGCGGGGUAACGGCCCACCGAGCCUACGACGGGUAGCCGGCCUGAGAGGGCGACCGGCCACAUUGGGACUGAGAUACGGCCCAGACUCCUACGGGAGGCAGCAGUGGGGAAUAUUGCACAAUGGGCGCAAGCCUGAUGCAGCGACGCCGCGUGCGGGAUGACGGCCUUCGGGUUGUAAACCGCUUUUGAUCGGGAGCAAGCCUUCGGGUGAGUGUACCUUUCGAAUAAGCACCGGCUAACUACGUGCCAGCAGCCGCGGUAAUACGUAGGGUGCAAGCGUUAUCCGGAAUUAUUGGGCGUAAAGGGCUCGUAGGCGGUUCGUCGCGUCCGGUGUGAAAGUCCAUCGCUUAACGGUGGAUCUGCGCCGGGUACGGGCGGGCUGGAGUGCGGUAGGGGAGACUGGAAUUCCCGGUGUAACGGUGGAAUGUGUAGAUAUCGGGAAGAACACCA